AGCCUGCCCUCCUCCAAGCGGGUCCCCUCCCCACAGCACCACGGCUUCUUUUCCUCAGCAAGGCGACAGGGGCUUCCCCUCAGCCGCCGCCGUCCCCGCCGGCCGAGCUCCGCCGCGUCCGCGGCCAGCGGCCGCCAUGCAGUUUAUGUUGCUUUUUAGUCGUCAGGGAAAGCUCCGACUGCAGAAAUGGUAUGUCCCACUCUCAGACAAAGAGAAGAAAAAGAUCACAAGAGAACUUGUUCAAACCGUUUUAGCACGGAAACCUAAAAUGUGCAGCUUCCUUGAGUGGCGAGAUCUGAAGAUUGUUUAUAAAAGAUAUGCUAGUCUGUAUUUUUGCUGCGCUAUUGAGGAUCAGGACAAUGAACUAAUUACCCUGGAAAUAAUUCAUCGUUAUGUGGAAUUACUUGACAAGUAUUUUGGCAGUGUGUGUGAACUUGAUAUCAUCUUUAAUUUCGAGAAGGCUUAUUUUAUUUUGGAUGAGUUUCUUUUGGGAGGGGAAGUUCAGGAAACAUCCAAGAAAAAUGUCCUUAAAGCAAUUGAGCAGGCUGAUCUACUACAGGAGAGCCAGAAUGAAGAAUGGGGAGGUUUGUCUGAGGAUAUCUUAUGAUAAAGAGCAGUCUAAGGCUUUAGUCCCUUUGACCCCCAACUUAUUUAUUGGAUGCAAAAGAAGCUGAGACCCCACGUAGUGUUCUUGAAGAAAUUGGACUGACAUAACUCUCCUCCCUUGUUGAUGACUUCUUGUGGCAUUUCACACACUGUAGAUGGUCACUGCCUUCAUGUCCAUGUUAGCUAAUGGUGUAAGAUGAUGUCUUGUCAGUAUUACUGUUUUGCUAAGCUGCUUCAUUCAGGCCUACAUUUUUUUUUAAAGGGAACUUUGAUCAAUUGAAUGAAAAGGGACUUCAAUUUGGAUUAGAAAUAUGCAUAAAGUACUUGGAUUUCUCAAAUUUAUAGGUCUAUUUCUCAUAACUGACUAUGUGCAUAUGUGAAAAUGACACAUCUCUGUACAAGCAAUAUCAAACAAUUCGGCAGUGUACAUUUGUUAAUUACUGUACUUGACAAAGGAAGGUUAAAUUAUAAUGUGAAACCUGGUUUUACGAAACCAAAGAUGAGUGCAGCAUUUCCGUAUAUAUGGUAAAAAUAAGGGAAUCAACAUGUCACAUAUUGAAUGGAUGAAAAUUUAAUUGUUGAAACUUAAACAAA